rnacentral:rRNA from 1 species
AUACGUAGGUGACAAGCGUUAUCCGGAUUUACUGGGCGUAAAGGGCGUGUAGGCGGUCUUGCAAGUCAGAAGUGAAAUUCCUGAGCUCAACUCGGGCGCUGCUUCUGAAACUGCAGGACUUGAGUGCUGGAGGGGAUAGCGGAAUUCCUAGUGGAGCGGUAAAAUGCGCAGAUAUUAGGAAGAACACCGGUGGCGAAGGCGGCUAUCUGGACAGUAACUGACGCUGAGGCGCGAAAGCGUGGGGAGCAAACAGGAUUAGAUACCCUGGUAGUCCACGCUGUAAACGAUGAAUGCUAGGUGUAGCGGGUAUCGACCCCUGCUGUGCCGCAGUAAACACAAUAAGCAUUCCGCCUGGGGAGUACGGCCGCAAGGUUGAAACUCAAAUGAAUUGACGGGG